rnacentral:rRNA from 1 species
CCUACGGGAGGCUGCAGUGGGGAAUAUUGCACAAUGGGGGAAACCCUGAUGCAGCGACGCCGCGUGGGUGACGAAGUAUUUCGGUAUGUAAAGCCCUAUCAGCAGGGAAGAAGAUGACAGUACCUGACCAAGAAGCCCCGGCUAACUACGUGCCAGCAGCCGCGGUAAUACGUAGGGGGCAAGCGUUAUCCGGAUUUACUGGGGGUAAAGGGAGCGUAGGUGGCAUGGCAAGCCAGAAGUGAAAACCCGGGGCUUAACCCCGCGGAUUGCUUUUGGAACUGUCAGGCUGGAGUGCAGGAGGGGCAGGCGGAAUUCCUGGUGUAGCGGUGAAAUGCGUAGAUAUCAGGAGGAACACCGGUGGCGAAGGCGGCCUGCUGGACUGUAACUGACACUGAGGCUCGAAAGCGUGGGGAGCAAACAGGAUUAGAUACCCUAGUAGUC